rnacentral:rRNA from 1 species
UACGUAGGGUGCAAGCGUUAAUCGGAAUUACUGGGCGUAAAGCGUGCGCAGGCGGUUUUGUAAGUCAGAUGUGAAAUCCCCGGGCUUAACCUGGGAACUGCGUUUGAAACUACAAGGCUAGAGUGUGACAGAGGGGGUGGAAUUCCACGUGUAGCAGUGAAAUGCGUAGAGAUGUGGAGGAACACCGAUGGCGAAGGCAGCCCCCUGGGUUAACACUGACGCUCAGGCACGAAAGCGUGGGGAGC